UAUCUUACUUGACAGGGAGAUACCAUGAUUAUGAAGGUGGUUUUCCCAGGGUGAGGCUUAUCCAUUGCACUUUAGAUGUGCUGACCCCUGUGGCUUCUCCAAAUGUGGGAAACAUGACCGCAUAUUUUGUGGUAGUGGGGGACUGAAUUUGUAAUCUCCCCUG